UACGGAGGUCCCAAGCGUUGUUCGGAUUCAUUGGGCGUAAAGGGUGUGUAGGUGGCGCCGUAAGUCGGGUGUGAAAUCUCGGGGCUUAACUCCGAAACUGCAUUCGAUACUGCGGUGCUUGAGGACUGGAGAGGAGACUGGAAUUCAUGGUGUAGCAGUGAAAUGCGUAGAGAUCAUGAGGAAGACCAGUGGCGAAGGCGGGUCUCUGGACAGUUCCUGACACUGAGACACGAAGGCCAGGGGAGCAAACGGG
rnacentral:rRNA from 1 species